ACUCUUUUCAUUCCGCUCGCCCCUCCCUAUAUUCGGUUUGCCGGGGCAACCCGGCUAUGGCGAUAAACGGUCAGUGCAAUAAGCCUUUCGGACCCGGGGGCGGUACCCGGCGCCUCCACCCGAGCCCAUCGACGCAGCAAGGCGAUAUCGGUGGGUUCCGGCGGGGGCGAAAUAGGAUCGACGAGGGUGUAAAGACUGCGCUUUCGCUCGGCAUGGUUCCGCCGUUAUCGGGCCUUAUCAAUAGUUGCAAACGACAACUAUGCUAUGGACAACGCUGUCGCCGCGUAAUGCGGUGCCGGUAGUCCUUUAAAGCCCUCCCGGGUAGCACCAGGAGGCGGGGUUCGGAGGCACCUGGCAACAGAAGCCUCCACU
rnacentral:tmRNA from 1 species